GUUGUUUUCUACAGUGUGGAAGCUUUGUUUUUUUUCCUCUUUGCAAUCAAUCUAGCUGCUGCUCACUCUUUGGGUCCGCCAUUGCCUUUAUGGGCUGUUAACGCUCACCGCGAAGGUCUGCAGCUUCCCUCCUGAAGCCAGCGAAACCACGAACCGACCGGGAGGAGCGAAUAACUCCAGACGCGCCACCUUAAUAGCUGUAACAGUCACCUCGAAGGUCCGCAACUUCACUCCUAAGCCAGCGAGAUCACGAACCCCACCAGAAGGAAGAAAUUCCGAACAUAUCCGCACAUCAGAAGGCACAAAUUCCGGACACGCCGCCUUUAAGAACUGUAACACUCACAGCGAGGGUCCGCGGCUUCAUUCUUGAAGUCAGUGAGACCAAGAACCCGCCAAUUCCGGACACACUAUGAUCAUACCACUGCACUCCAGCCUGGAGUACAAGGGCUUUACUCUAUGGCCCAGGCUAGAGUGCAGUGCUGUGAUCUUGGCUCACUGUAACAACCUUCACCUCCGGGACUCAAGCAAUCCUCCCACCUCAGCCUCCCAAGCAACUGGAACCACAGCAGGCUGAAUCCAGCAGGCUAAAUGCAUCAGCUUGGAUCCCAGAGUGAGGAAAAUGUCGCACAAAGGUGUCAGAGGACCUCGAUUCAUCUGGGAUGU
rnacentral:lncRNA from 1 species